rnacentral:rRNA from 1 species
UACGGAGGGAGCUAGCGUUGUUCGGAAUUACUGGGCGUAAAGCGCACGUAGGCGGCUUUGUAAGUUAGAGGUGAAAGCCCGGGGCUCAACUCCGGAACUGCCUUUAAGACUGCAUCGCUUGAAUCCAGGAGAGGUGAGUGGAAUUCCGAGUGUAGAGGUGAAAUUCGUAGAUAUUCGGAAGAACACCAGUGGCGAAGGCGGCACUCUGGGCCGGAACUGACGCUGAGGAGCGAAAGCGUGGGGAGCAAACAGG